rnacentral:rRNA from 1 species
GGCCAUGGCCAUGCCCCCCUGACGCGCCUGGUCUUGUCUCAUCCCAGAAGCUAAGCAGGGCCGGGCCUGGCUAGUACUCGAUGGGAGAAGCGUCAAGCUGGGUUUCUGCUGUUC